rfam:Rattus norvegicus chromosome 3, whole genome shotgun sequence.
GGGGGUUUAGCUCAGUGGUAGAGUGCUUGCCUAGCAAGCACAAGGCCCUGGGUUCGGUCCCCAGCUCCG